rnacentral:rRNA from 1 species
GAUGAACGCUGGCGGCGUGCCUAAUACAUGCAAGUCGAGCGAACAGACGAGGAGCUUGCUCCUCUGACGUUAGCGGCGGACGGGUGAGUAACACGUGGAUAACCUACCUAUAAGACUUGGAUAACUUCGGGAAACCGGAGCUAAUACCGGAUAAUAUAUUGAACCGCAUGGUUCAAUAGUGAAAGACGGUUUUGCUGUCACUUAUAGCUGGAUCCGCGCCGCAUUAGCUAGUUGGUAAGGUAACGGCUUACCAAGGCGACGAUGCGUAGCCGACCUGAGAGGGUGAUCGGCCACACUGGAACUGAGACACGGUCCAGACUCCUACGGGAGGCAGCAGUAGGGAAUCUUCCGCAAUGGGCGAAAGCCUGACGGAGCAACGCCGCGUGAGUGAUGAAGGUCUUCGGAUCGUAAAACUCUGUUAUUAGGGAAGAACAAAUGUGUAAGUAACUAUGCACGUCUUGACGGUACCUAAUCAGAAAGCCACGGCUAACUACGUG